rnacentral:rRNA from 1 species
UACGGGGGGAGCAAGCGUUGGUUCGGAUUUACUGGGCGUAAAGGGCGCGGUAGGCGGUCGUGACAAGUCACUUGUGAAAUCUCCGGGCUUAACUCGGAACGGUCAAGUGAUACUGUCGGACUAGAGUACAGAAGGGGCAACUGGAAUUCUCGGUGUAGCGGUGAAAUGCGUAGAUAUCGGGAGGAACACCAAUUGCGAAGGCAGCUCGCUGGGACGUCACUGACGCUGAGACGCGAAAGCGUGGGGAAGCAAACAGGG